rnacentral:rRNA from 1 species
UCGGGUAAUGAGACCGGCGCACGGGUGCGUAACGCGUAUGCAAUCUACCUUUUACAGGGGAAUAGCCCAGAGAAAUUUGGAUUAAUGCCCCAUAGUAUAUAACAUUCGCAUGUUUGUUAUAUUAAAGUUCCAACGGUAAAAGAUGAUCAUGCGUCCCAUUAGUUAGUUGGUAAGGUAACGGCUUACCAAGACUAUGAUGGGUAGGGGUCCUGAGAGGGAGAUCCCCCACACUGGUACUGAGACACGGACCAAACUCCUACGGGAGGCAGCAGUGAGGAAUAUUGGACAAUGGGCGCAAGCCUGAUCCAGCCAUGCCGCGUGCAGGAAGAAGCAUCUAUGGUGUGUAAACUGCUUUUGUACAGGAAGAAACACUCCCUCGUGAGGGAGCUUGACGGUACUGUAAGAAUAAGGAUCGGCUAACUCCGUGCCAGCAGCCGCGGUAAUACGGAGGAUCCAAGCGUUAUCCGGAAUCAUUGGGUUUAAAGGGUCCGUAGGCGGUUUGAUAAGUCAGUGGUGAAAGCCCAUCGCUCAACGAUGGAACGGCCAUUGAUACUGUCAGACUUGAAUUACUAGGAAGUAACUAGAAUAUGUAGUGUAGCGGUGAAAUGCUUAGAUAUUACAUGGAAUACCAAUUGCGAUGGCAGGUUACUACUAGUGGAUUGACGCUGAUGGACGAAAGCGUGGGGAGCGAACAGGAUUAGAUACCCUGGUAGUCCACGCCGUAAACGAUGGAUACUAGCUGUUGGGUGCAAACUCAGUGGCUAAGCGAAAGUGAUAAGUAUCCCACCUGGGGAGUACGUUCGCAAGAAUGAAACUCAAAGGAAUUGACGGAGGCACGCACAAGCGGUCGGAGCAUG